rnacentral:rRNA from 1 species
UACAGAGGGGGCAAGCGUUGUUCGGAAUUACUGGGCGUAAAGGGCGCGUAGGCGGCCCGCUAAGUCGAACGUGAAAUCCCCGAGCUCAACUCGGGAACUGCGUCCGAUACUGGCGGGCUUGAAUCCGGGAGAGGGAUGCGGAAUUCCAGGUGUAGCGGUGAAAUGCGUAGAUAUCUGGAGGAACACCGGUGGCGAAGGCAGCCCCCUGGGCUAACACUGACGCUCAUGCACGAAAGCGUGGGGAGCAAACAGG